rnacentral:rRNA from 1 species
AGCAGCCGCGGUAAUUCCAGCUCCAAUAGCGUAUAUUAAAGUUGCUGCAGUUAAAAAGCUCGUAGUUGAAUUUCGGGACCAAUAUGUCGGUCGUGCCUCGGUACGUACUGGCAUCGUUGGUUUCUCCCUUCUGACGAACCAUGAUGUCAUUUAUUUGGUGUCGUGGGGAAUCAGGACUGUUACUUUGAAAAAUUAGGGUGUUUAAAGCAGGCUCACGCUUGAAUACAUUAGCAUGGAAUAAUGAAAUAGGACGUUUGAUUCUAUUUUGUUGGUUUCUAGGAUCGACGUAAUGAUUAAUAGGGAUAGUUGGGGGCAUUAGUAUUCAAUUGUCAGAGGUGAAAUUCUUGGAUUUAUUGAAGACUAACUACUGCGAAAGCAUUUGCCAAGGAUGUUUUCAUUAAUCAAGAACGAAAGUUAGGGGAUCGAAGACGAUCAGAUACCGUCGUAGUCUUAACCAUAAACUAUGCCGACUAGGGAUCGGAUGAUGUUAAUUUUUAAUGACUCA